CGAAAUCCAUAGGAAGUGGUUGGAUAAUAUAUAUUACCUAUAAAAUUUCGCCUCUCUUAAAUUGCGCGACAUUACAUGUCAAAUACGUUAUCACGAGAACGGUUAACUGUAUGUUGUUAAUCGACAAAACUAAGGUUACGAUACUACCGAAACAACGUCGUACCGGAGCGAAACUCGACCAGUCUUUAGAUCGAGGCAGAAUUGCAUGGACACGGUUUAAGCACGCGAUCACAAGCAAUCGAGAUCGGUAGAAGCAUCGCAACGCCGACGCCGACGCCGUUUUACCGAUGUCGACGUCGAGGUCGGCGUCGUCGGCGGUUCAGUGAAGGCCAGUCAUUCGCCCGCGUCGAACGCGCAUCCAAACCUAACCUCGUCGGGUGCUAAGAGGCCCUGGAGAAACUGUAUCGCCGCCAGCCAUCCUCCGUCCAACGGCCGUUAUCGUUGAUAUUCGUCAUCUUAUUGCUAAGUCAAGAUGUCACGGAUGGAGUUCAAAUAGAAAAAAAAAAAUGAGAAGAAUG